rnacentral:rRNA from 1 species
UACGUAGGGUGCAAGCGUUAAUCGGAAUUACUGGGCGUAAAGCGUGCGCAGGCGGUGAUGUAAGACAGAUGUGAAAUCCCCAGGCUCAACCUGGGAACUGCAUCCGAUACUGGAUGGCUUGAAUUCGGGAGAGGGAUGCGGAAUUCCAGGUGUAGCGGUGAAAUGCGCAGAUAUCAGGAGGAACACCGGUGGCGAAGGCGGGUCUCUGGGCCGAUACUGACGCUGAGGAGCGAAAGCGUGGGGAGCGAACAGG